GAUGAACGCUGGCGGCGUGCCUAAUACAUGCAAGUCGAGCGAACAGACGAGGAGCUUGCUCCUCUGACGUUAGCGGCGGACGGGUGAGUAACACGUGGAUAACCUACCUAUAAGACUGGGAUAACUUCGGGAAACCGGAGCUAAUACCGGAUAAUAUAUUGAACCGCAUGGUUCAAUAGUGAAAGACGGUUUUGCUGUCACUUAUAGAUGGAUCCGCGCCGCAUUAGCUAGUUGGUAAGGUAACGGCUUACCAAGGCAACGAUGCGUAGCCGACCUGAGAGGGUGAUCGGCCACACUGGAACUGAGACACGGUCCAGACUCCGACGGGAGGCAGCAGUAGGGAAUCUUCCGCAAUGGGCGAAAGCCUGACGGAGCAACGCCGCGUGAGUGAUGAAGGUCUGCGGAUCGUAAAACUCUGUUAUUAGGGAAGAACAAAUGUGUAAGUAACUAUGCACGUCUGGACGGUACCUAAGCAGAAAGCCACGGCUAACUACGG
rnacentral:rRNA from 1 species